CAGGCUUAACACAUGCAAGUCGAGGGGCAGCAUGGUCUUAGCUUGCUAAGGCCGAUGGCGACCGGCGCACGGGUGAGUAACACGUAUCCAAUCUGCCGUCUACUCUUGGACAGCCUUCUGAAAGGAAGAUUAAUACAAGAUGGCAUCAUGAGUCCGCAUGUUCACAUGAUUAAAGGUAUUCCGGUAGACGAUGGGGAUGCGUUCCAUUAGAUAGUAGGCGGGGUAACGGCCCACCUAGUCUUCGAUGGAUAGGGGUUCUGAGAGGAAGGUCCCCCACAUUGGAACUGAGACACGGUCCAAACUCCUACGGGAGGCAGCAGUGAGGAAUAUUGGUCAAUGGGCGAGAGCCUGAACCAGCCAAGUAGCGUGAAGGAUGACUGCCCUAUGGGUUGUAAACUUCUUUUAUAAAGGAAUAAAGUCGGGUAUGCAUACCCGUUUGCAUGUACUUUAUGAAUAAGGAUCGGCUAACUCCGUGCCAGCAGCCGCGGUAAUACGGAGGAUCCGAGCGUUAUCCGGAUUUAUUGGGUUUAAAGGGAGCGUAGAUGGAUGUUUAAGUCAGUUGUGAAAGUUUGCGGCUCAACCGUAAAAUUGCAGUUGGUACUGGAUAUCUUGAGUGCAGUUGAGGCAGGCGGAAUUCGUGGUGUAGCGGUGAAAUGCUUAGAUAUCACGAAGAACUCCGAUUGCGAAGGCAGCCUGCUAAGCUGCAACUGACAUUGAGGCUCGAAAGUGUGGGUAUCAAACAGGAUUAGAUACCCUGGUAGUCCACACGGUAAACGAUGAAUACUCGCUGUUUGCGAUAUACAGCAAGCGGCCAAGCGAAAGCGUUAAGUAUUCCACCUGGGGAGUACGCCGGCAACGGUGAAACUCAAAGGAAUUGACGGGGGCCCGCACAAGCGGAGGAACAUGUGGUUUAAUUCGAUGAUACGCGAGGAACCUUACCCGGGCUUAAAUUGCAGAUGAAUUACGGUGAAAGCCGUAAGCCGCAAGGCAUCUGUGAAGGUGCUGCAUGGUUGUCGUCAGCUCGUGCCGUGAGGUGUCGGCUUAAGUGCCAUAACGAGCGCAACCCUUGUUGUCAGUUACUAACAGGUUCCGCUGAGGACUCUGACAAGACUGCCAUCGUAAGAUGUGAGGAAGGUGGGGAUGACGUCAAAUCAGCACGGCCCUUACGUCCGGGGCUACACACGUGUUACAAUGGGGGGUACAGAGGGCCGCUACCACGCGAGUGGAUGCCAAUCCCAAAAACCUCUCUCAGUUCGGACUGGAGUCUGCAACCCGACUCCACGAAGCUGGAUUCGCUAGUAAUCGCGCAUCAGCCACGGCGCGGUGAAUACGUUCCCGGGCCUUGUACACACCGCCCGUCAAGCCAUGGGAGCCGGGGGUACCUGAAGUGCGUAACCGCGAGGAGCGCCCUAGGGUAAAACUGGUGACUGGGGCUAA
rnacentral:rRNA from 1 species